UGGGGAAUAUUGGACAAUGGGCGAAAGCCUGAUCCAGCCAUGCCGCGUGUGUGAAGAAGGUCUUCGGAUUGUAAAGCACUUUAAGUUGGGAGGAAGGGCAUUAACCUAAUACGUUAGUGUUUUGACGUUACCGAUAGAAUAAGCACCGGCUAACUCUGUGCCAGCAGCCGCGGUAAUACAGAGGGUGCAAGCGUUAAUCGGAAUUACUGGGCGUAAAGCGCGCGUAGGUGGUUUGUUAAGUUGGAUGUGAAAUCCCCGGGCUCAACCUGGGAACUGCAUUCAAAACUGACUGACUAGAGUAUGGUAGAGGGUGGUGGAAUUUCCUGUGUAGCGGUGAAAUGCGUAGAUAUAGGAAGUAACACCAGUGGCGAAGGCGACCACCUGGACUAAUACUGACACUGAGGUGCGAAAGCGUGGGGAGCAAACA
rnacentral:rRNA from 1 species